GGCGAACGGGUGAGUAACACGUAUCUAAUCUACCUAUUAGCGGGGGAUAACAGUUGGAAACGACUGCUAAUACCGCAUACGACAUUUUCUGGCAUCAGAGAAUGUUAAAAGGUCCGUUUGGACCACUAAUGGAUGAGGGUGCGGCGUAUUAGUUAGUUGGUGGGGUAAUGGCCUACCAAGACAAUGAUACGUAGCCGAACUGAGAGGUUGAACGGCCACAUCGGGACUGAGACACGGCCUGAACUCCUACGGGAGGCAGCAGUAGGGAAUUUUUCACAAUGGGCGAAAGCCUGAUGGAGCAAUGCCGCGUGACUGAAGACGGUCUUCGGAUUGUAAAGGUCUGUUGUAAGGGAAGAACAGUAAGUAUAGGAAAUGAUACUUAUUUGACGGUACCUUACCAGAAAGCCACGGCUAA
rnacentral:rRNA from 1 species